AUUGAACGCUGGCGGCAGGCUUAACACAUGCAAGUCGAGCGGGGUGAUGGUGCUUGCACUAUCACUUAGCGGCGGACGGGUGAGUAAUGCUUAGGAAUCUGCCUAUUAGUGGGGGACAACAUCUCGAAAGGGAUGUUAAUACCGCAUACGUCCUACGGGAGAAAGCAGGGGAGCACUGGUGACCUUGCGCUAAUAGAUGAGCCUAAGUCGGAGUAGCUAGUUGGUGGGGUAAAGGCCUACCAAGGCGACGAUCUGUAGCGGGUCUGAGAGGAUGAUCCGCCACACUGGGACUGAGACACGGCCCAGACUCCUACGGGAGGCAGCAGUGGGGAAUAUUGGACAAUGGGGGGAACCCUGAUCCAGCCACGCCGCGUGUGUGAAGAAGGCCUUAUGGUUGUAAAGCACUUUAAGCGAGGAGGAGGCUCUUUUGGUUAAUACCCAAGAUGAGUGGACGUUACUCGCAGAAUAAGCACCGGCUAACUCUGUGCCAGCCGCCGCAGUAA
rnacentral:rRNA from 1 species